GGAUGAACGCUAGCUACAGGCUUAACACAUUGCAAGUCGAGGGGCAGCAUCGCGAUAGCUUGCUAUUGCGGAUGGCGACCGGCGCACGGGUGAGUAACGCGUAUCCCAACCUUCCCGCAACUGGGGGAUAACCUUGCGAAAGUAAGACUAAUACCCCCAUGGUCUCCAUAGAAGGCAUCUGAAAUGGAGUAAAGGUUUCGGCCCGGUUGCGGAUGGGGAUGCGUCCCAUUAGCUUGUUGGCGGGGUAACGGCCCACCAAGGCGACGAUGGGUAGGGGUUCUGAGAGGAAGGUCCCCCACAUUGGAACUGAGACACGGUCCAAACUCCUACGGGAGGCAGCAGUGAGGAAUAUUGGUCAAUGGGCGGAAGCCUGAACCAGCCAAGUAGCGUGCAGGAAGACGGCCCUCUGGGUUGUAAACUGCUUUUAGUCGGGAAUAAAAUGCGGCACGUGUGCCGCUUUGCAUGUACCGUCAGAAAAAGGACCGGCUAAUUCCGUG
rnacentral:rRNA from 1 species